GAUGCCCAAGCAACAUGGUCUUCCUGCAGAGGCUGGUUACAAACCAGGGCUUUCAGGAGUAGAAGAGCCACGUCCUGGGCUUCUGCCCACACAGCUACAUCAUCAGUUCCAUGGCUCAUUUCACAGCUACCUGAGAUAAAAUACGGAAAGGAAAGAACUAAAGGAGUUCAGUUUUCAAGCAGCAUUUAGAAAAAAUACCUGCAACCUCAGGCUUGCUGUAAUGGAAAAUAAAACUCUCUUUUCCAGACCCUCCUGCCCCAAAGGGUUUUCAAAUGCCGGACUGGCCAAGCCCUAGACGUCCCAGCCGUCACCAUGAAACACCAGACUUGUGGGAGGACCUCUCUUGAAUUCCCAGCCACAGGCAAAGAACUGUCCUGGUCAUCCACGAGGAUGCCAUUGCUGGUGAGAGCUGUUCUCCCCUGAGACCCGUUAAGCCUGGGGAAGGAGAGUGCGGAGGGCGUGGAGUGUGACAGCAGCGACAGC